rnacentral:rRNA from 1 species
CCUACGGGUGGCAGCAGUGAGGAAUAUUGGUCAAUGGACGAGAGUCUGAACCAGCCAAGUAGCGUGAAGGAUGACUGCCCUAUGGGUUGUAAACCUCUUUUAUAAAGGAAUAAAACGAGGCACGUGUGCCUUUUUGCAUGUACUUUAACAAUAAGAAUAGGCUAACCCCGUUCCAGCAGCCGCGGUAAGACGGAGGAUCCGAGCGUUAUCCGGAUUUAGUGGGUUUAAAGGGAGCGUAGACGGGUUGUUAAGUCAGUUGUGAAAGUUUCGGGCUCAACCGACAAAUGGCAAUUGAUACUGGCAGUCUUGAGUAUAGUUGAGGUGGGCGGAAUUCGUGGUGUAGCGGUGAAAUGCUUAGAUAUCGCGAAGAACACCGAUUGCGAAGGCAGCUUCCUGAACUAAGACUGACGUUGAUGCUCGAAAGUGUGGGUAUCAAACAGGAUUAGAUACCCCUGUAGUC